GAUGAACGCUGGCGGCGUGCCUAAUACAUGCAAGUCGAGCGAACAGACGAGGAGCUUGCUCCUCUGACGUUAGCGGCGGACGGGUGAGUAACACGUGGAUAACCUACCUAUAAGACUGGGAUAACUUCGGGAAACCGGAGCUAAUACCGGAUAAUAUAUUGAACCGCAUGGUUCAAUAGUUAAAUACGGUUUUUCUGUCACUUAUAGAUGUAUCCGCGCCGCAUUAGCUAGUUGGUAAGGUAACGGCUUACCAAGGCAACGAUGCGUAGCCGACCUGAGAGGGUGAUCGGCCACACUGGAACUGAGACACGGUCCAGACUCCUACGGGAGGCAGCAGUAGGGAAUCUUCCGCAAUGGGCGAAAGCCUGACGGAGCAACGCCGCGUGAGUGAUGAAGGUCUUCGGAUCGUAAAACUCUGUUAUUAGGGAAGAACAAAUGUGUAAGUAACUAUGCACGUCUUGACGGUACCUAAUCAGAAAGCCACGGCUAACUACGUG
rnacentral:rRNA from 1 species